UUCGGAGCGAAAUUCACCCACGAGACAGAAAAGGGACACACAAAAUAUAGCUCCUCAUUAUCUCACUCCUUCUGAGCCCCUCCCCUAGACCUACCUUUACCUUAUCAAUAUCAUCAUUUCCCUUUUCAAUUUCUCAUUUUUCCUAAUACCCAACAAAAAUUUUUCAUCACUGCUUCAAUAAUCGAUCAAAUUCCCCGCUCUUUCUACUGUUUUUAACGAUUUCUGUUGGGAUUUUGGAGCUAUAAUCAUUUUCUUUCUUUAAAAAGGGAGCUAUGGAUGCUGAUUCGUGGAGCGCUCGUCUCUCUUCGGCCUCUAGGCGAUACCAAUCCGUCCUUCAAUCGCGAUCUGAUAUGUUUAUAGGUUUCGAAGAAAUUGAUGGAGAUGAUGAUAUAAGGGAGGAGUUUCCUUGCCCAUUCUGUUCAGAAUAUUUUGAUAUUGUUGGCCUGUGCCGUCAUAUUGAUGAUGAGCAUCCCGUGGAGGCAAAGAAUGGGGUAUCUCCUUUUAAUAGCUGAAUUGCAUAUAUUGUUAAUUAUUAUAGCAAAAAAAUUACUUCUUAAAUAAGAUUCUGUGCUUGUGCCUGGCUCAGAAUGCUACUUCAUGGUUAUGAUUUCGAAAUUAUGUGGUUGUAUAAAAUAAAUAUUUUCAGGCUCAUAAAAAAUUUGCAUAAGCUUAGCACAACUUGAUUUUGGUAGCCUUGAAUCGCAACAAGUUGCAUUAAGUUGAGCAGCAAGGGGAUUUGCGUACAAAACUGGCCUUCAAGUUGUGUGAAGUUGAGUUGGACUCGAUGCAUUGUUGUCACGUGCAACAAUAGUAUUCUUCAUUUCUUCUAGCCUUAAUUUCUUCUGUUUGAUGAUUGGGGAAAUCAUUCCUUCUAUGUUAUAAACAGUUAAUGUUAGUCUCUUGAUGAAUAUGAAUGCAAAUAUUAACAAUGAGAUGAGAAACCUUGAUUUUACUGACUUCAGCUUAUGUUGAGGUUUACCUUAGCUGGUGGGAAUGGGUUUUGACAACCCACCUAAGAACUUCAUCAUAAAUAAUGCUGAGACUUCGGCCUUUAGUGUGGCGAACAUUAUUGUAGGAUAGGAUGGAUUAUGGUAUAGGAUAACAGGACUAGCCUUCUUUUUCCAGGUCUCUGAAACAUUAGAACUAAUUUCCUAUCAUAUAUGAGUUUCAUUUACAGGCUUUGUAUUUUUGGGAAAGAGAUUUUUGUUUGUUACAUAAUAAUGGAUUAAUGCAUGUUUCUUUCUAAUGAUGAGAAGAUAUUUUUGAAGUUUAACUUUGCUCAUGAUAUUUGCUUUUUAUCACAGGUUUGUCCAGUUUGUGCAAUGAGGGUGGGGGUUGAUAUGGUUGCGCACAUAACCUUACAACAUGGAAAUAUAUUCAAGAUGCAGCGGAAGAGGAAAUCACGAAAAGGUGGACAUCAUUCAACGCUUACAUUAUUGAGGAAAGAGCUGCGAGAAGGAAGUUUACAAUCCCUUCUUGGUGGAUCCUCCUGCUAUGUUUCUUCCUCCAACACAGAACCAGAUCCAUUGCUUUCAUCAUUUAUAUUUAAUGCACCUUCUCUGGAUGAACCUCUGAAUAUACAGCCUCUUUCUUCAGUUGAAGCAGGCUCAGUGAAGGGGAGCACGACUGAGGAGUUUCGGGAAAGGUAAACCACUGGUGCAAUUUUUAAUUUCUCAGUUUGUUAUUUAGAAGUGUACUAAAGAGCCUGCAACCUCUGUGAAUCAAUUAAAUAGACUUUGUUUAAAAUGAUAAGAGUGAUGAGUGAAUUGCAUUGGUUGUGAUUAACUAUUCCUUCUUAUAUAUUUUGAGAGCUUUUUUUAUCAGUAUUAUAGAGAAAGUGAAUUAUUAGUUAUUUAUCUGGUCAUAUUUGUUGAUAUAGUGAUCUUAAUGGCAUUGCUAGGGGAACAGUUUAUUUGGUUUCUAACAUGAAUUUAAUACUGACAGAAAAGUCGAACAGUCACCGCU
rnacentral:misc_RNA from 1 species